GUGGGGAAUUUUGGACAAUGGGGGCAACCCUGAUCCAGCCAUGCCGCGUGAGUGAAGAAGGCCUUCGGGUUGUAAAGCUCUUUCGGACAGAAAGAAAUCGUGCGGGCCAAUACCCUGCAUGGAUGACGGUACUGUAAGAAGAAGCACCGGCUAACUACGUGCCAGCAGCCGCGGUAAUACGUAGGGUGCGAGCGUUAAUCGGAAUUACUGGGCGUAAAGCGUGCGCAGGCGGUUUCGUAAGACAGAUGUGAAAUCCCCGGGCUUAACCUGGGAACUGCAUUUGUGACUGCGAGGCUAGAGUACGGCAGAGGGGGGUAGAAUUCCACGUGUAGCAGUGAAAUGCGUAGAUAUGUGGAGGAAUACCGAUGGCGAAGGCAGCCCCCUGGGUCGAUACUGACGCUCAUGCACGAAAGCGUGGGGAGCAAACAGGAUUAGAAACCCUUGUAGUCC
rnacentral:rRNA from 1 species